CCCAGACUCCUACGGGAGGCAGCAGUGGGGAAUAUUGCACAAUGGGGGAAACCCUGAUGCAGCAACGCCGCGUGAGUGAGGAAGUAUUUCGGUAUGUAAAGCUCUAUCAGCAGGGAAUAGAAAAGAAGGUACCUGAAAAAGAAGCCCCGGCUAACUACGUGCCAGCAGCCGCGGUAAUACGUAGGGGGCAAGCGUUAUCCGGAUUUACUGGGUGUAAAGGGAGCGUAGACGGCAGAGCAAGUCUGAAGUGAAAGCCCGCGGCCCAACUGCGGGACUGCUUUGGAAACUGCCCGGCUAGAGUGCUGGAGAGGUAAGUGGAAUUCCUAGUGUAGCGGUGAAAUGCGUAGAUAUUAGGAGGAACACCAGUGGCGAAGGCGGCUUACUGGACAGUAACUGACGUUGAGGCUCGAAAGCGUGGGGAGCAAACAGGAUUAGAUACCCUCGUAA
rnacentral:rRNA from 1 species